GACCUCACCCCGAUGGCGUAGCGGACGACCCCGGCGCGCUCCGCCUGCGGGAUGACGUCGC
ensembl:miRNA gga-mir-12225 gga-mir-12225